ACGAGUAUAGUUAAGUGGUAUAACAUCUACCUUCCAAGUAGAUAUCAUCAGUUCAAUACUGAUUACUCGUA
rnacentral:tRNA from 1 species